UACGGGGGGGGCAAGCGGUUGUUCGGAAUUACGUGGCGUAAAGGGCGCGUAGGCGGCCUUCUAAGUCGGACGUGAAAUCCCUCGGACCUUAACCGAGGAACUGCGUCCGAUACUGAAAGGCUUGAAUCCGGGAGAAGGGAUGUGGAAUUCCGAGGUGUAGCGGUGAAAUGCGUAGAUAUCUGGAGGAACACCGGUGGCGAAGGCGG
rnacentral:rRNA from 1 species